rnacentral:rRNA from 1 species
CGUAGGGUGCGAGCGUUGCCCGGAUUUAUUGGGCGUAAAGGGCGCGUAGGCGGCUCGGCACGUCCGUUGUGAAAUCGCCCGGCUCAACUGGGCGGGGUCAGCGGAUACGGUCGAGCUUGAGCAAGCUAGGGGGCAAUGGAAUUCCCGGUGUAGUGGUGGAACGCGUAGAUAUCGGGAGGAACACCAGUGGCGAAGGCGGUUGCCUGGGGCUUUGCUGACGCUGAUGCGCGAAAGCGUGGGGAGCGAUCCGGAUUAGAUACCCGGGUAGUCCACGCCGUAAACGAUGCGGACUAGGUGUCGGGGGUAUCGACCCCCUCGGCGCCGCAGCUAACGCACUAAGUCCGCCGCCUGGGGACUACGGCCGCAAGGCUA